AAUUGGUGCUAAAUGGGGAACAGCUGAAGUGCUGCAGCACCGAGGUCAAUUGUAAUCAGGUUUGCUGUAGAAGAGCUCUGUGUUCUUGCAGACACCCCCAGGAUGGGCAGGAGCUGGGCUGGAAGAGUGGAAGCUGCAGAGGAUGAGAGGUGGGGUCUGAUAGAGGGGCACACGCAGCUGGUGGACUUCUCCCCUUGGGUGAAGCGUUGCGAUGGAGAGAUCCUGAACCUCCCAGCUCCUGUCUGCCUGCAUUACAGUGACUCUGUGCUGCGACCAGCUCAAGGCCCCGUGGGAGAGAGAGCUAAUUAAUUAACUAGUUAAUUAACUGUCAGGAUGCCAGACCUCUGCAAGAAACGCUGGGCAGACUGACUGCUGCCUCCAGCCCUGCA